rnacentral:rRNA from 1 species
CCUACGGGUGGCAGCAGUGAGGAAUAUUGGUCAAUGGGCGCGAGCCUGAACCAGCUAAGUAGCGUGAAGGAUGACUGCCCUACGGGUUGUAAACUUCUUUUAUAAAGGAAUAAAGUGAGGCACGUGUGCCUUUUUGCAUGUACUUUAUGAAUAAGGAUCGGCUAACUCCGUGCCAGCAGCCGCGGUAAUACGGAGGAUCCGAGCGUUAUCCGGAUGUAUUGGGUUUAAAGGGAGCGUAGAUGGGUUGUUAAGUCAGUUGUGAAAGUUUGCGGCUUAACCGUAAAAAUGCAAUUGAUACUGGCAGUCUUGAGUACAGUAGAGGGAGGCGGAAUUCGUGGUGUAGCAGUGAAAUGCGUAGAUAUCACGAAGAACUCCGAUUGCGAAGGCAGCUUACUAAACUGCAACUGACAUUGAUGCUCGAAAGUGUGGGUAUCAAACAGGAUUAGAUACCCGAGUAGUC